UACGGGGGGAGCAAGCGUUGUUCGGAUUUACUGGGCGUAAAGGGCGCGUAGGCGGCCAGUGCAAGUCAGUUGUGAAAUCUCCGAGCUUAACUCGGAAAGAUCAACUGAUACUGCUCGGCUAGAGUGCGGAAGGGGCAACUGGAAUUCUUGGUGUAGCGGUGAAAUGCGUAGAUAUCAAGAGGAACACCUGCGGCGAAGGCGGGUUGCUGGGCCGACACUGACGCUGAAGCGCGAAAGCUAGGGGAGCGAACGGG
rnacentral:rRNA from 1 species